GGCUCAUAGAAGGCAGUGAUGAAAUCUCAGUAGAGCUUCUACAGCUUCUUCUUGAUAGAGUCAAAAUUGAUAAUCAGAUGGAAUCACCCAUCGCAUCAUACUUGGUGGAGGAAGUCCUAAAAGACUGUGCUGCAAUUGUUAAACCAUACUUUUCAGAUGCCCUAAAAUCAAUGAGCUUUGAUCCUGCUCAUUAUGCUCAAACGGUUGCUUUAUUAAGCAAGGAAAUGCCAAAAGGAAAAGGAAUGAUGGCAACUGAAAAUGUGCCUGCUACUAUACAUUGCGUAAAAGUUGGUCCAUCUGAGGCUAAAUGUUGUGAGCUAGCGCGGCAGGAUGACACUCACAGGGAGAAGCGAAAGGAUACUUGUCUAACUAACAUCAUGAAACCAGUCAAUCCAGAAGAUGUGCACCCAGCAGAAAAUGUGCCAAAAGAAAACCAGGA
rnacentral:misc_RNA from 1 species